AGUGAACGCUGGCGGUAGGCCUAACACAUGCAAGUCGAGCGGCAGCAUAGUAAGAGCUUGCUCUUACGGGUGGCGAGUGGCGGACGGGUGAGGAAUACAUCGGAAUCUACUUUUUCGUGAGGGAUAACGUAGGGAAACUUACGCUAAUACCGCAUACGACCUACGGGUGAAAGCAGGGGAUCUUCGGACCUUGCGCGAUUGAAUGAGCCGAUGUCGGAUUAGCUAGUUGGCGGGGUAAAGGCCCACCAAGGCGACGAUCCGUAGCUGGUCUGAGAGGAUGAUCAGCCACACUGGAACUGAGACACGGUCCAGACUCCUACGGGAGGCAGCAGUGGGGAAUAUUGGACAAUGGGCGCAAGCCUGAUCCAGCCAUACCGCGUGGGUGAAGAAGGCCUUCGGGUUGUAAAGCCCUUUUGUUGGGAAAGAAAAGCAGCAGGUUAAUACCCCGCUGUUCUGACGGUACCCAAAGAAUAAGCACCGGCUAACUUCGUG
rnacentral:rRNA from 1 species